CCUACGGGGGGCAGCAGUGGGGAAUAUUGGACAAUGGGGGCAACCCUGAUCCAGCCAUGCCGCGUGUGUGAAGAAGGCCCUCGGGUUGUAAAGCACUUUCAGUGAGGAAGAACGCCUGGUGGUUAAUACCCAUCAGGAAAGACAUCACUCACAGAAGAAGCACCGGCUAACUCCGUGCCAGCAGCCGCGGUAAUACGGAGGGUGCGAGCAUUAAUCGGAAUUACUGGGCGUAAAGCGCGCGUAGGUGGCUUGAUAAGCCGGUUGUGAAAGCCCCGGGCUCAACCUGGGAACGGCAUCCGGAACUGUCAAGCUAGAGUGCAGGAGAGGAAGGUAGAAUUCACGGUGUAGCGGUGAAAUGCGUAGAGAUCGGGAGGAAUACCAGUGGCGAAGGCGGCCUUCUGGACUGACACUGACACUGAGGUGCGAAAGCGUGGGUAGCAAACAGGAUUAGAUACCCGUGUAGUC
rnacentral:rRNA from 1 species